AUGCAGCCAUGCCGCGUGUGUGAAGAAGGCCUUCGGGUUGUAAAGCACUUUCAGUAGGGAGGAAGGUAGUGUAGUUAACACCUGCAUUAUUUGACGUUACCUACAGAAGAAAGCACCGGCUAACUCCGUGCCAGCAGCCGCGGUAAUACGGAGGGUGCGAGCGUUAAUCGGAAUUACUGGGCGUAAAGCGCAUGCAGGCGGCCUGUUAAGUCAGAUGUGAAAGCCCGGGGCUUAACCUCGGAAUUGCAUUUGAAACUGGUAGGCUAGAGUCUUGUAGAGGGGGGUAGGAAUUUCAGGUGUAGCGGUGAAAUGCGUAGAGAUCUGAAGGAAUACCAGUGGCGAAGGCGGCCCCCUGGACAAAGACUGACGCUCAGAUGCGAAAGCGUGGGGAGCAAACAGGAUUAGAUACCCUGGUAG
rnacentral:rRNA from 1 species